rnacentral:rRNA from 1 species
AGAGUUUGAUCCUGGCUCAGGAUGAACGCUGGCGGUAUGCCUAACACAUGCAAGUCGUACGAGAGUUUUUAACUCUAGUGGCGGACGGGUGAGUAACACGUGAGAAUUUGCCUUUAGGAGGGGGAUAACAAUUGGAAACGAAUGCUAAUACCCCAUAUGCUUUUGAGUGAAAUGGAUUUAUAAUUAUCUGCCUAAAGAAAAGCUCGCGGCUGAUUAGCUUGUUGGUAAGGUAAGAGCUUACCAAGGCGACGAUCAGUAUCUGGUUUGAGAGGACGAUCAGACACACUGGAACUGAGACACGGUCCAGACUCCUACGGGAGGCAGCAGUGGGGAAUUUUCCGCAAUGGGCGAAAGCCUGACGGAGCAAUACCGCGUGAGGGAAGACUGCCUAUGGGUUGUAAACCUCUUUUUUCAGGGAGGAAUAAAAUGACGUGUACCUGAAGAAUAAGCAUCGGCUAACUCCGUGCCAGCAGCCGCGGUAAGACGGAGGAUGCAAGUGUUAUCCGGAAUCACUGGGCGUAAAGCGUCUGUAGGUGGUCUAAUAAGUCAACUGUUAAAUCUUGAGGCUCAACUUCAAAACCGCAGUCGAAACUAUUAGACUAGAGUAUAGUAGAGGUAAAGGGAAUUUCCAGUGUAGCGGUGAAAUGCGUAGA